GGUACUCGCGGAGGAUCAUUAAUGAUGAAAUUGAGUGGGGUUGUAGCUGGCCUUUCACCGGGCAUGUGCACACCUCAUUCGACCACCUUCUACACCCCUGUGCACUUCUCAUGAGUUGGGCCGCGUCUGAAACACGACAAAGUCCGGCUCGUGUGUUUUAUACAAACGAAUCAUGUUACAGAAUGUCACUACCAUGCUUUGAAGCAUAUAAUACAACUUUCAACAACGGAUCUCUUGGCUCUCGCAUCGAUGAAGAACGCAGCGAAAUGCGAUAAGUAAUGUGAAUUGCAGAAUUCAGUGAAUCAUCGAAUCUUUGAACGCACCUUGCGCUCCUUGGUAUUCCGAGGAGCAUGCUUGUUUGAGUGUCAUGGUCUUCUCAACCCUUCCGUCUUUUUCACCGGAGACUGUCGGGCUUGGAUGUGGAGGUCUUGCAGGCAUCUGGAUCUUUUGAUUCAGAAGUCGGCUCCUCUGAAAUGCAUUAGCUUGAAUAGUACCAAGCAUGAUUCAGCGUGAUAAUUGUCUACGUUGCUUCGUCUCGGUGAAUUAAAUGUUCAAGCUUCUAACCGUCCCUCGGGACAAUCUCUGAACAUCUGACCUCAAAUCAAGUAGGACUACCCGCUGAACUUAAGCAUAUCAAUAAAGCGGAGGAAACUUUUU
rnacentral:rRNA from 1 species